rnacentral:rRNA from 1 species
UACGAAGGGAGCUAGCGUUGUUCGGAAUCACUGGGCGUAAAGCGCACGUAGGCGGAUUUGUCAGUCAGGGGUGAAAUCCCGGGGCUCAACCUCGGAACUGCCUUUGAUACAGCAAGUCUUGAGUUCGAGAGAGGUGGGUGGAAUUCCUAGUGUAGAGGUGAAAUUCGUAGAUAUUAGGAAGAACACCGGUGGCGAAAGCGGCGUGCUGGAUCUCUUCUGACGCUGAGGCUCGAAAGCUAGGGGAGCAAACGGG